UGGCUCAGAACGAACGUUAGCGGCGCGCCUAACACAUGCAAGUCGAGCGAGAAAGGGCUUCGGCCCCGGUACAGCGGCGCACGGGUGAGUAACACGUAGGUAAUCUACCCCUGAAUGGUGGAUAACCCUCCGAAAGGAGGGCUAAUACAGCAUAAGACCACGGCUUCUCUGGAAGCUGAGGCCAAAGCGGGCCUCUUAAUUAAAGCUCGCGUUUGGGGAUGAGCCUGCGGCCCAUCAGCUAGUUGGCGGUGUAACGGACCACCAAGGCUAAGACGGGUAGCUGGUCUGAGAGGAUGAACAGCCACACUGGAACUGAGACACGGUCCAGACUCCUACGGGAGGCAGCAGUGGGGAAUCUUGCGCAAUGGGCGAAAGCCUGACGCAGCGACGCCGCGUGAGUGAUGAAGGCCUUCGGGUUGUAAAGCUCUGUGGGGAGAGACGAAUAAGGGCCGAUUAACACUCGGCUCGAUGACGGUAUCUCCUUAGCAAGCACCGGCUAACUCUGUGCCAGCAGCCGCGGUAAGACAGAGGGUGCAAACGUUGUUCGGAAUUACUGGGCGUAAAGCGCGUGUAGGCGGCAGGGCAUGUCGGAUGUGAAAUCCCGUGGCUCAACCACGGAAGUGCACCCGAAACUGCCCAGCUCGAGUCUCGGAGAGGAAGGCGGAAUGCUUGGUGUAGAGGUGAAAUUCGUAGAUAUCAAGCGGAACACCGGUGGCGAAGGCGGCCUUCUGGACGAUGACUGACGCUGAGACGCGAAAGCGUGGGGAGCAAACAGGAUUAGAUACCCUGGUAGUCCACGCCGUAAACGAUGAGUGCUAGGUGUCACGGGCUUUGACCCCUGUGGUGCCGUAGCUAACGCAGUAAGCACUCCGCCUGG
rnacentral:rRNA from 1 species